GACGAACCGUGCGAACGUUGUUCGGAAUCACUGGGCUUAAAGGGCGCGUAGGCGGCUUGCCAAGUCAGGGGUGAAAUCCAGCAGCUUAACUGUUGAAGUGCCUUUGAUACUGGCGAGCUCGAGGGAGGUAGGGGUAUGCGGAACUUCUGGUGGAGCGGUGAAAUGCGUUGAUAUCAGGAAGAACACCCGUGGCGAAGGCGGCUCUCUGGAACGCAACUGACGCUGAGACGCGAAAGCGUGGGGAGCAAACAGG
rnacentral:rRNA from 1 species